rnacentral:rRNA from 1 species
GACGAACGCUGGCGGCGUGCUUAACACAUGCAAGUCGAACGGAAAGGCCCUGCUUUUGUGGGGUGCUCGAGUGGCGAACGGGUGUGUAACACGUGAGUAACCUGCCCUUGACUUUGGGAUAACUUCAGGAAACUGGGGCUAAUACCGGAUAGGGGUUCCUGCUGCUUGUUGGGGGUUGGAAACUUUCGGCGGUUGGGGAUGGACUCGCGGCUUAUCAGCUUGUUGGUGGGGUAGUGGCUUACCAAGGCUUUGACGGGUAGCCGGCCUGAGAGGGUGACCGGCCACAUUGGGAAUGAGAUACGGCCCAGAAUCCUACGGGAGGCAGGAGGGGGGAAUAUUGCACAAUGGGCGGAAGACUGAGGCAGAAACGCCGCGUGCGGGAUAACGGCCUUCGGGUUGUAAACCGCUUUCGCCUGUGACGAAGCGUGAGUGACGGUAAUGGGUAAAGAAGCACCGGCUAACUACGUG